UUUCAUAUAAUUUAUAUUUUUUUAUUUUUUCAUAUUGCUUUCUUCUUCGUUUUUUUUUGUUUUGAUGUUUUGUGAUUUUUUUGGUGUUUUUCCAGUCAAGAGAUGUCGUUUUCGGCGAUGGGUGGGCUGGUGGCUUCGAUUGAACUGCUGAUUUCGGCGUUUUUUGGUGAAUUUUCGACGGAGGGUCUAUCCGACAAAUUUCACCGUGAUGGUGAUCGACAACGACAGUAAUGUUGUUUUACCGACGAGUAUUAGCCGAAAUCGAUCACAGGGACUGAAUUUUAGUCAGUGAUUUGCUAAUUUUGCAGAUCCGAUGAGGGACGGGUUCUCUCUUCUUUGCUUUUCUCCUUCAACCCCUCAAUAUUUUUUGAGCUUUCAAUCAUCUAUGGAGUUUUGGAGUGUUGAAGUGAAAGUGGGAGAAUCUCUAAGAAGUCAGCUGGUAAGAAGAUCGGUCCAGUAACGCCUUUUGCCAAGCAAAAUGAUAACCUGCAGCAGCCAAUGGUAACAACAAAUUUCAGUCUCCGAAAUCCGGCAACAAAUCUAACAACAAGAACUUUAGUGGCCAAAAGAAUUCAAAAGGUAAGCAAGGAAGGAAGUAGAAUGCCUGAAAGACAUAUCAUACAGUGAAGUGUGAAGCCUUUUUGAAGAGCAAAGAGUUAUUAUUUUUAAUUUUUUAUUUAAAGGGGGACAUAGAUGAAUGGUCUCUUUGUGCUUUUUAGUUAUUUUUUAGUUGUAGUUCAAAUUUUGGACGAGUGUUUUUGUUACCAGAAAGUUUUGUCAAAAAAAAAAAAAAACUCAAUGAGGGACGGACUUGGCCAUUCUUUUUAUGGAGUUUUCGGUGAUGUGGUAGCGGCGGGUAAGUAUAUUCCGAC
rnacentral:lncRNA from 1 species